rnacentral:rRNA from 1 species
GUCGAACGGUAGCAGGAAGAGCUUGCUCUUUGCUGACGAGUGGCGGACGGGUGAGUAAUGCUUAGGAAUUUGCCUUUUGGAGGGGGACAACAGUUGGAAACGACUGCUAAUACCGCAUAAUACCUGAGGGUCAAAGGGGGCUUUUAGCUCUCGCCAAAAGAGAAGCCUAAGUGAGAUUAGCUAGUUGGUAGGGUAAAGGCCUACCAAGGCGACGAUCUCUAGCUGUUCUGAGAGGAAGAUCAGCCACACUGGGACUGAGACACGGCCCAGACUCCUACGGGAGGCAGCAGUGGGGAAUAUUGCACAAUGGGGGAAACCCUGAUGCAGCCAUGCCGCGUGUGUGAAGAAGGCCUUCGGGUUGUAAAGCACUUUCAGUGGUGAGGAAAGGUUGGUAGUUAAUACCUGCCAGCUGUGACGUUAACCACAGAAGAAGCACCGGCUAACUCCGUGCCAGCAGCCGCGGUAAUACGGAGGGUGCGAGCGUUAAUCGGAAUUACUGGGCGUAAAGCGCACGCAGGCGGUUUGUUAAGCUAGAUGUGAAAGCCCCGGGCUCAACCUGGGAGAGUCAUUUAGAACUGGCAAACUAGAGUCGUUUAGAGGGGGGUGGAAUUCCAGGUGUAGCGGUGAAAUGCGUAGAGAUCUGGAGGAACAUCAGUGGCGAAAGCGG